ensembl:lncRNA
UAACGGUGCAUUUGCAUUUUUACCCCCAUUUUCCUGUCAUACUGGAUUUAACAUGCAACAAUGAAUCAAAUCUCUUCUUAAUCUUACAGACGCCAUCAGUGACUUGGAAGACAAUGAUCAUGCUUCCCAUGUGGAGCAUCAGAUGACAUGCACGUCCCUCAGUGAUCUCCCAGGAUCCCCUUCGGCCCACAGCAGUCAUCCCGCCUCGGAGCGCUGUCCAUGGGAGAUGGAGGUGCUCAUGGACCGAGAAGCCCAGGCCGCAAUGGUUGAGUCCGAUGGAAAUGCUUUAAGUGAGGAUGCGGCGAGAGAGACCGACCCUGUCAGGGAGCAAGCAGACGCUUCGAGAACUUUAGAGAAGGCAGAUAGUGGAGGCGGUUUGACGGAGAGUUACCAAUGCGUGGUUGUCACGGCACCCUUGAUGGACAGGCAGGAGAGGGAGGAUGCAGCAAGCUGUUCUAGAGAAGGUGGGGCGGAGGGCGUCCCAUCGCUGGCAGCCGCCCCAGCGCAGAGCCGCCUGUUUGAGAGUCAGGACCUGCAGACGGUGAUGGGCGGAUGUGAGCUGCCGGAUCAGCGCUCCACACUGGAAGGAUCUCAACUGAUCAUUAUUACAGGCCCAAGUUACGAGGCUCUGGCGUCUGAAGGCCUUCAGCUGAACGUGGGUGGCGGUGAUGUUGAGGAGGUCACAUGUACGCUGAUCGAGGAUGUGUCGUAUAAUCAGAUGUGUCAGUCACGUCCCAGCGCCGAUCUGGCUGAGAAGCAGUUCUUGGAUCCCAGUGAAGAAACGCACUGUUCCAAAGAGCUUCAGCAGUCUCUCAGUAGGUGUAAGCGGAGCCGGCGGGGUCCAGUAAUCGAGGCAGACGGCAUGCUGAAGAUGUUUCACUGUCCGUAUGAAGGCUGCAGGCAGGUGUAUGUGGCCAUUAGCAGUUUCCAGGUGUGCGAGACUUUAUCUGUGAAACAUGUGGGAAGUCAUUUAAACGCAAGAAUCACUUAGAAGUGCACAGACGAACACACACGGGAGAGACGCCGUUACA